UUCGCCGCCGACGUCCCUGAUGACAGGAGGCCACCUCGGCGUGUGGUAUCUCAGGAUCCAGUGCCCUCACUCUAUGUGUGCGGAGGCCAAGCAGCACCCCCCUAUCCCUGGCAAAAUGCCGAACCACCUCCGGUGGUGACAAGGUCAUGCACCUACGACGUAGGGGGGUGUGAGAGCGAUGCAUCGCUGCUGCUGCCGGCGGUGAUGCCCUUUAUAGCGUUGUUUCAGGGCGACCUGCGUCCUUGAAGACGCUUGUGCCAUCCACAUGAUGUGCAGGGUGUUGGCGUGAUCCGAACGUAUCCCAACCCGGCGACGGCGAGGGGUGCACCAGGUGACGGAAGGCGCAAUGGGAUGAACUGUGAGGCGGCCUGCGAGGCGGGGUGUGGGCAGAGUUCGAGGCAAGUGCGGUUCGCCCAUGACCGAGUCGGUGAUUUGCUGUACCGCGUGUCUGCAGCUGCUUCGCACCAGGCGAUGAGGCCUAUGACCGGCCGGAGGGGGUAGAGUGGUGCUUGACUCAUGCUGUAUGGCAGAGAAACGGGCACGCUGGAGGGAAAAGUUACCACCCGCAUUUUUCUCGGCGCAUGUUAUCAAGGAUUCAAUGCAGCCCUUCGCAGUCUCUCUUUCCUUUCCCAAGCAAGCUAUACGUGGCUGUCGUCGCUCUUGAUGGAACCGCCCCAUGUGGGAAUCGAGCAGAAGAGAUGAAGUCGAAACACGCAAGUAGAACGAAGAAGCACGCGUUGGUUUUGUGUAUAGGUGCGUGUGCUCACGCGCUUACGUCGCUGUCUGUCUGUCUCUGUGCGAGUAUGCUCGGGCGAUUCAUACGCACUCCUUUGCGUGCCUGGAUGAGGUGUGCCGCACCUCUUUUUCGUCUCUCUUUCUCUGGGCCAAAGUACCCAGGCGCAUCUAUGCACACGUAAGAACGGACCAAAACGAAAACCAAACACGAAGCGAGGAUUGCGCAGCUUGCUGGUGCUUACUCUAACUCGAUUCUCUCCCAUGUUCACUGUCACGCGCUCACCUCCCCACCUUCUCGCCCCCACACAUACAUGCGAGCACCGAACAG
rnacentral:misc_RNA from 1 species